GGUCCUAUGGCCCAAUGGCCAAGGCGCACGCCUACGAAUUUUCGGCCAGCGUGAGAUUCCAGGUUCGAGUCCUGGUAGGAUCG